UGCAAGUGUUGAUUUCUUUUUGUGUGAUGGCCCACGAAAGUAUCUUGCGGUUGGGUUUUCGCGCAGGUUUCGGCGAAGCGUCCCUAGAUCAAGAGGAUUUGCAACGCUUUGACGAUGCUUUUGCCGUUGGAAGCAGACGAAGGUUCGUUAUGACAAGGGCACAAGUACCUUCAAGUACAAAGGAGGAGUCGCCGUUGCUGCCGAAUUACGAGCUACGGGGGGCGAAUACAUCGGAUUUACGAGCUGAGAAACCAAGAGGGGAUCGCUAUUGCUGCUGCUUCAAAAUUGCUCGCCAAUAUCUUGUAAAACUACAAAGGAUGCCAUGAUCUUUGGCUGGGACAAGCGGGUAAGAUCUCUCACAUAUAGGUUAUACUGCAUUGCCAGAUUUUAGAAGGAUUCAGUGUCAUUUAUUACCUGUUUGGGAAACUGGGUCAAUUUACCAACAUUUGAAAAAUAAUUUAGCCAUUAAAUUAUAAGCAACUAUAAUGUUUGUGAUGCAAGUGUGUUGAGGGUUGCCACCUACCCGGUUUUCAGCUGGCAAGGCCGGUUUCCGUGUUUUCAACAAGCGUUUUUUCUUUUUAGUAUUCAAGUGCAGUUUUUUUUUUGUUUCGUUUUUUAAACAUUUAUACACAUUAAACCACCAUCUACCACAAAAUAUGUUUGUCGAUGGCAAGAAAAAAGAAAAACAAAAUGUCACAAUGUACGAGAAAAAUCCGCUGAGGACUCCCCAGUAGAAAAACUCAGCGAGUGAGCGCGCAAGCUUGCGAAACGACGACGUCGUUUAAAAUUUGCGGGUAGAAAAAAAAACAAAGUAAAAGAAACAGAUAAUGCAACUCAAAAGUCGCAAAGACCACCGAGCGGCUGUGGUAGCAAGAGGCCUAGCCCUGAGAUGAUCAGGGAAACGGUAAAAAGCAGGAAGCCGGCACCUGUGGGGGCACGGGGAAUACAGGACUGUCCUGCCCUCCCUCUAGUUGUGCCUCCUGGAAUGUGUUGGUUUUUCGACUUUUAACAGUUGUUCACAUCUUGGCAAAGACAUGCAUGGUGCUACCACUCAUCCACACAUGAAUGAUUGGCGGAAAAUUAAUGCGUCCUGCACUCUCGUAAGCGCUGCAGCCCUGGUAAUAGCGUGGAGGGCAGCCCGCAGUCUUUUUGCAGCUUGUUUACACUCUCUUCCUCUAUUGCGGUUUAACGUCCGACAGAGGGCUUAGACGGCAGGACGUACGUCCACUCCUAAGCUGGCAAUGCAGUGGGAGCUGCGCACUUGCCAGACCAAUCAGCCGCCUCUCUUUCGUCGUCUAACCUAGCUCUCUGCGCGUAGGUAUGAGCAGGAGCGUGACCACGUGACGAAAAAUAAAUGUGCGACUGAUCAAACAUGCACAUAGCUUCUAUCACUCUGCCAGCUUAGAGGUGUACGGGGUCUACAUCUGUUUACGUCAUCACGAAGCAGCAGGUAUCAUUCGGGUCAUGGUUUUAAAAAAAGAGGGGGGGGGGGGGGGGGGGUAAUUCUAGCUUUUGCCUUAGUGCCGGCGCCCGAGGCACGCAACGACACGUCUCCAGAGCCGGUGGAAUGCUGGCUUUGAUUCUCUCACUCGUAGCAGUGCAAAGAAUAUUGGUCAGCUACUUUCCUGAUAUGUGCUUUAUCCUAACGAAAUCUCGCUUCCUCCCUACUGUUACCUUCCCUCUCCCCAGACAACUACAAAGCUGGCUUCGGGAGGGACGCAGCCGGGGUUGUUGUGCAGUAACUCAUUCGACUUAAGAUCUCCAAGUCAUUGGUGUAGUGGAGAGGUCGCACUCCCUGCCAGCGUGAGCCAUGCUAUAUUUCAAGCACUUCCUUUCAUUCUAAUCGCAACACAUGCAAGAAGUUGAGUAACUAAAGCAUCACGUCUGGGCUCCUUGAACCUUACUUCUAUUUUAAUUUAAGUUAGUCUUUCUUGUAACACUUUUUGUUUUUAUCAGUGGUUUAACUUUAAAGGGAAACUGAAGCGGUUCUGGGUUUGAGAAAAAAAAAAACACAUAAAUAGUCUUCAUUCGGCCUUCAGGAUCACAAAUACAAAAAAUUAUAUUUCAGAUUGAUGCUUCAGGUAGCCACAACAAGAUUUUCUCUAUACCGCUGAAGCCCCUCUUUCCCGGCCCUUUUGGUGGGAGGAGGGAAUCGUGACGGGAUUAUUCAACAUGUUCUCCUCUGGCUUUGGGCCGACAUACUCAAUUCGGUGUCCUGGACAAUGGCUACAAGUUUGACAUGGACGACCAAGAGGCCUUGGAGCUUGCCCACAAGGCUAUCCACCACGCCAUCUUCAGGGACCUUGCGAGCGGUGGCAUUGUGAGAGUUUACCAAGUGUAUCUCUGAAGAAGACAGCAUGGAUCUGCACUACAAGUUUCAAGCAGAGAAGAUGCAGUGAUAUCUAUGUACUCAAGAUUGACUCAAGAGCAUCCACUGAAAAGAUGCAGCGCAAGUGAUAUACUCCUUUUUUGCGACGCGAGUGAAAACAAUAAAACUGCACUUUGAUGCACGUUCA